AUGUACAUCCAGGUUUUUUUCCUUUAAUUUUUUUGGGGGCCUCCAAGAGAGUGGGGCCCUAAGCUAUAGCUUGUUAAUUAAGAAAUGCUGUGUAUCACUGAUGAAACUGCAGUCGACGCAUUUUCAAGUACUAAAACUGAUUUCUAAGGUCAUGUCAGUACACAGAAAGUUACAUCUACGUUGGGGAAGAAAGAUUCGCAUUCACUCUGCACAUAUCUGUGCAUGUGUCUGCACAGCCUUCCUGGUCUCCCACCUAUCUUUCCUUGGCACUUGUAGUUUUUCUUGGUCUGCCUCUAUCCUUUGGGCCUGCUCCGACCAUAAUGCUCCGACCAUAAUGCUGUUAAGAUGGAAAUGAAACUAACACCAGCUGGCUCCUUCAGAUGGAGGAUGAAUGACACCUUAUUUAGAGAUGAAGAAGUGUUAAAGAAGGCCCAAAAAAUCUUGAGAGAUUAUUUUGAGAUAAAUAUGAAUACCAACGUGGAAAAAAGAGUAAUCUGGGACGCAAGUAAAGCGGUUAUGAGAGGGUUUCUGAUACAACAGAAUGCAGUAAAGAAGAGAAUUCAAAAUGAGAAGAAGGAUAAGAUAUUGGAGAAAAUAAAGGAAAGUGAAAAAAGAUUGAGAACAAAUCCAAAAUCUCAAGAGAUUCUGAGAGAAUUAAAGUUAUACCAAGUACAAUACAUGAAAAUGAUGAAUCAGGAAAUAGAAUGGAAAAUCAAACAAAUGAGACAAAAGACAUUUGAGUCGGCUAAUAAAUGUGGGAAACUGUUGGCUUGGCAAAUGAAAAAAAGACAAAAAUUAAAUACAGUUACGAAUUUAGAAGUGUAAGGAAGGAAUAUACAGAACCCAGCUGAGAUCAGAAGUUGUUUCCAGAGGUACUUUAAACAACUAUAUACACAAGGGCCACUGAAAGGAACUGAUUUAGAUCAAUUUUUGAAAACAAAUGGAUUACAAAAAAUCUCUCAAGAAAAUAAAUUAAUGUUGAACUAUAAAAUAACCGAACAGGAGAUAGAAGGUGCCAUUCAAAACAUGCAAUUGGGUAAGUCUCCAGGACCGGAUGGAUUGACUUCUAGAUAUUACAAAUCCUUGAAAGAAUGGUUAAUACAACCUUUGAAAGAGGCCUGUAAUGAAAUAAUGGAGGGGAAAAGAGCACCAGAGUCGUGGAAAGAAACUUAUAUUACACUUGUACCGAAAACAGAGACUGAAAAGACACAGCUUAAGAACUACCGUCCCAUAUCAUUACUUAAUGUGGAUUACAAAAUUUUUGCAGACAUUUUGGCUAAGAGAUUUUAAAAAGUGUUGAUGGAAGAGAUUCAUAAAGAUCAAGCGGGCUUUCUCCCAGGAAGACACUUGUCUGACAAUUUGAGGAAUAUAAUUGAUAUUUUGGAAAAACUAGAAGUGAAUAUAAAUACUAAAGCAGUUUUGAUAUUUGUGGACGCGGAGAAAGCUUUUGACAAUAUUUCUUGGAGCUUUAUGAAGAAGAACCUACAGGGUAUGGGGGUAGGCCAAGGCUUUGAAAAUGGUAUAAGUGCAAUUUAUUCAGAACAAAAGGCUAAAUUAAUUGUAAAUAAUGUGGUGACGGAAGAAUUUAAAAUAGAAAAAGGGACACGACAAGGUUGCCCAAUUUCCCCACUACUUUUUAUUUCGGUCCUGGAGGUUUUGUUGAACAUGAUAAGAAGGGACAAGCUGGUUAAAGGUAUACAGGUCGGAACUAAACAGUACAAACUGAGAGCAUUUGCAGAUGACUUAGUACUGACGCUACAGGAGCCAGAAUCUAGUACCAAAAGGGUUUUAGAAUUGAUUCAAGAAUUUGGUCAGGUUGCAGGAUUUAAAUUGAACAAGUUAAAAACUAAGGUUUUAGAGAAAAAUUUAACACCAAUGGAGAGAGAAAGGUUUCAGAAUGUGACAGGUUUAACAGUGGCUAAGAAAGUUAAAUACCUGGGGAUUAAUAUGACAGCAAAAAAUGGGAAUUUAUUCAAAGAUAACUAUGAAAAAUGUUGGGAUGAAGUGAAAAAAGAUUUAGAAAUUUGGUCAAAUUUGAAGCUUUCACUGCUGGGCCGGAUUGCUGCGGUAAAAAUGAAUGUAUUGCCUAGAAUGUUAUUUCUGUUUCAAACAUUGCAAAUUGUGGACAAAAUGGACUGUUUCAAGAGGUGGCAGAGAGAUAUUUCCAGAUUUGUCUGGCAGGGCAAGAAGCCCAGAAUAAAAUUUAAAAUACUAACAGAUGCAAAGGAAAGAGGUGGAUUUGCCCUGCCAGACCUUAAACUUUAUUAUGAAUCAGCAGCCUUUUGCUGGUUGAAAGAAUGGCUGCUUCUUGAAAACACUGACAUUUUGGAUCUAGAAGGUUUUAACAAUGUAUUUGGAUGGCAUGCAUAUCUGUGGUAUGAUAAGGUCAAAGCACAUAAAGCAUUUAAAAAUCACAUUGUCAGGAAAGCAUUGUUUAAUGUUUGGAUAAGAUACAAGAAUUUAUUGGAAAACAAAACUCCAAGGUGGCUGUCACCAAUGGAAGCGAAAGCCUUGAAAAAGCUCAAUAUGGAGGUUGAAUGGCCAAAAUAUUGGGAAAUUUUGGAACAAGAUGGAGAUAGACUGAAAUUGCAGAGUUUUGAAAAAUUAAAAAACAAAGUGCGAGACUGGCUUCAUUAUUAUCAGAUAAUGGAGGCAUACAAUUCGGACAAGAAAAUUGGCUUCCAGGUGGAAAAAUCAAAAUUAGAAACAGAACUGUUAGAACCCAAAACUAAGACUUUGUCAAGAAUGUAUAACUUGCUGCUGAAAUGGAACACUCAGGAUGAAACGGUGAAAUCUGCUAUGAUUAAAUGGGCACAAGACGUUGGACACAACAUUAUGUUCGCUGACUGGGAACAGUUAUGGACCACAGGUAUGAAAUUUAUGGCAUGUAAUGCCAUAAGAGAGAAUAUUAUGAAAAUGAUAUACAGGUGGUACAUAACCCCAGUCAAGCUUGCAAAAAUCUACCAUUUGCCCGAUAAUAAAUGUUGGAAAUGUAAAGAAACUGAAGGUACAUUUUUUCACCUUUGGUGGACGUGCCCAAAGAUUAAGGCUUUCUGGGAGAAGAUAUAUAAUGAAUUAAAAAAGGUAUUUAAAUAUACCUUCUUGAAGAAACCAGAGGCCUUUCUCCUGGGCAUAGUCGGCCAAUUGGUGCUAAAAAAAGGACAGAACUUUCUUUAUGUAUGCUACAACAGCAGCAAGAAUACUCAUCGCAAAGUAUUGGAAGACACAAGAGCUACCCACACUGGAGGAAUGGCAGAUGAAAUUGAUGGACUAUAUGGAAUUGGCGGAAAUGACUGGCAGAAUCCGUGACCAGGGAGAAGAGUCGGUGGAAGAAGAUUGGAAGAAAUUCAAAGAUUACUUACGGAAAUAUUGCAAAAUUAAAGAAUGUUAGAGUGAUGUUGGAUUGAAAUGAAGUGGCUUCUAGCUGUACAGGCUUUAAAGUUAUAUACAGAUUAAGAUUAAGGAUUAGGAUUAAAAAAGUUAAAAGAAAUGGAAAAUUGGCUUUUAAUAGGUUAAAAUUUAAUGUUAUAUUAUAUUAAGAUUAAGGAUUGCGAUUAAAAAGGAGGGAAAGGAAUUGCUGGACAAACAAAUUGAAUUGGAAUACAAAAGAGGGAGGUAUGAGGAGGUCCGGGAAAUAAGUAAAUGUAAAAGUUAUGAUGAAAAGAUGGAAUUGUUUUUAACUGUUUUUUCUUUCUUUUUCUUUUGUAUUUUGUAUGGUGUAUUUCUCUUUUUAUUUUUAAAUUUCUUUUUUUUUUAAUUAAGAUGUCUCUUUUCAUGUGAAACUUCAAUAAAUAUCAUU